AGAUAAGCUUGUGACUAGGAGCAUGUAAAGUUUAAUUCACUACAGUCUCAUUUCACAAAAAUCCAUAAUUGUUAUGAUUUCAGGUGACUAAGGAUUCACAUGUCUUAUUUGCACUGAAGAAUUAGGAAGAAGAAGCUGAAAAGGAUGUAGAAGAACAAAACGAAUAUUGAGGGGGCGAGGGAUUUGUUGAAAUUCUAUGUAAAGUUUUGGUAGUGGUGACAUAUAUGAAAGAGAACCAGUAUUUUUUAUAUUUAUCAGGGGAGUGAAUAAUGAAAAUGAUUUUCGAGUAGAAGAUUUUACAUCCUUGGCAUCCUUGUGGCAUCCUUGUUUUGAUAGCCGGUUCCAGACCCCCCUUUCUCCUCCAGAUCUUGAUGCUAUUCUUGAAAGCUGUCAGUCGGUUAUUGGAGAAGUUGAUACUGGGCCAUUUGCUUG